AUGGGCUCCAUUUUUGUGAGGAGCUGAGAUCCUGGUCAGGGGACUGGAGAUUGCUUUGUGGAGCUCUCUCCAAGCCAGAAGGUGCUACUGAGAAACUGCUGGGACUUGACCAAGCAGGGAAUCAAGAAGGCUGUUGUUGCGGGCUUCACUGGAACCAGGGCUGAGACUGUUGUGGUGACUGGAACUGACUGAGAAAUGAUCCCAACUUAGAAUUGCUCUGCCCCUUAUUGCCUUGGCUCAGGCUGGACUACUUUACUGGACCAACAGAGUGAUGUCCUGGUUUCAGGAUCUUCAAGUGUGCCCAGGCAAGCAUCUAGACCUCUGAAAUAUGAGGAGUGCAUACUCAGAGGCAUAUCUUGAACAUUCCUACAUCCUGAUUUGUGAACCAAACACAGGCUGGAGAAAGAAUAAUACUUGCCUUUGCAAUCUGUGAAGGAAGUGGUUUGGCUGAAGAAGAAAGGAAAGUCGCUUAUGUGG